UACGUAGGGGGCUAGCGUUGUCCGGAAUCAUUGGGCGUAAAGCGCGUGUAGGCGGUCCGGUAAGUCCGCUGUGAAAGUCGGGGGCUCAACCCUCGAAUGCCGGUGGAUACUGUCGGGCUAGAGUGCGGAAGAGGCGAGUGGAAUUCCUGGUGUAGCGGUGAAAUGCGUAGAUAUCAGGAGGAACACCUGUGGUGUAGACAGCUUACUGGACCACUUCUGACGCUGAGACACGAAAGCGUGGGUAGCAAACAGG
rnacentral:rRNA from 1 species